GAACGCACCUUGCGCUCCCUGGUAUUCCUAGGAGCAUGCCUGUUUGAGUGUCAUGAAUCCCUCAAAUCCCAAUGUUUUUUAAAAAAGAAGCGUUGCUUGGAUUUGGUUGUGGGCCCUUGCAGUCUUUCACGAGUCUGCUGGCCUUAAAGAUAUUAGCUGGACCUCUCUAAUCUCUAAGCAGAGUACUUCCAUUUGAUGUAAUAAAAUUGCAUUGGUGGAGGCUCGACUUGGUACCUAGAGGAAGUCUGCUUCUUAACCCGGCGCGAGUGGCAACACUCAACCCACUAUUUCAUAACUCUGGCCUCAAAUCAGGUAGGACUACCCGCUGAACUUAAG
rnacentral:misc_RNA from 1 species